UUUCCAUUUACUUUCGGUGGCAGCCCUUUGUCUAGUUUCUUUCCGUUCCCAGAUUCAUUAAGCAAAUUUUUCCCCUUUUUACCUAUGCUUUCAACACCUGCGUUUUCAGAAAACCGCUCAGCCUUGCCGGAGCGAAGAGUGGAUUCAUUGAAUAAGCUUUCUAUGGUACAAGGCUUGAUACGUCUUACCUUAUCUUUGGAGAGACCUUGUGUCCAGCCUUCAUCACUAUUAAGCCAUUCACGCCAUUUUGAUUGCCGGUAAUCACGAAUUUUAUCAUAAGGACCAUUAUACACUUGCUCAGAAUUUCUAGCAAAUACAUCUUCGGUCCCAUUUUCAUAUCUGAUUUUAACGGUAUUAAUUGGUAUUGUCAAGGCUAGUCCUGAUUCCAAGAAACUAGUAAUAAUAGCAUUUGCACUUUUUACCACGGAACUAGACUCGUCAUCCUCAUUUCCUUCAUCUGAGGGCAAGCAUUUUCGAAGGAAUGGUAUUCGAACAUGCUCAGGUAAUAUGCCUUCAGUCGGACUCGACAUUAUGUAACUUCCAAUGUAAUAGCACCACUUUUCUGCAUCCGACUUGAGAGUUCCCAUUGUUAGAUCUUCGCGUCCCAUUAGCCUUAUGGCUGAUUGUCGAGUUUGUGAAUUCCAAUCAAUGCAACAUAAAUUUUCAUCUGGUCCAAACGCAGUCUCUGUUUGUAUCCGAUACAUGAUUUGUUGACGAGGACUAGUACGUCUUUGUACUCGAUCUUUCUCGUAAUACAUGAAAACUUGAGCCAAGCGACGGUUGGUUGUAACGGAAUGUAGUUGUUUAAUA